rnacentral:rRNA from 1 species
CUGCACGAAUGGCGUAAUGAUGGCCAGGCUGUCUCCACCCGAGACUCAGUGAAAUUGAACUCGCUGUGAAGAUGCAGUGUACCCGCGGCAAGACGGAAAGACCCCGUGAACCUUUACUAUAGCUUGACACUGAACACUGGUCCUUGAUGUGUAGGAUAGGUGGGAGGCUUUGAAGCGUGGACGCCAGUCUGCGUGGAGCCAACCUUGAAAUACCACCCUUUAAUGGCUGGUGUUCUAACGURGACCCGUWAYCCGGGUUGCGGACAGUGUCUGGUGGGUAGUUUGACUGGGGCGGUCUCCUCCCAAAGAGUAACGGAGGAGCACGAAGGUUGGCUAAUCCUGGUCGGACAUCAGGAGGUUAGUGCAAUGGCAUAAGCCAGCUUGACUGCGAGCGUGACGGCGCGAGCAGGUGCGAAAGCAGGUCAUAGUGAUCCGGUGGUUCUGAAUGGAAGGGCCAUCGCUCAACGGAUAAAAGGUACUCCGGGGAUAACAGGCUGAUAC